AUUAAUAAUCGAGAUCGUGUAUCUCACAAAUUAAU
rnacentral:ncRNA from 1 species